ACUUGCACAGUGAAUCAGUGGUCGGAGUCAGCGUAAUUACAGCGAGUUGACAUAAUUGACACUGGUGAUGAGUUGAUCUGAUUUCCGGUUCUUGCACAUUGUUUCCUUUUUGAUUAAUGGCGGACGCGACCACGAGGAGAGGAGAGUUCAAACAGACCAUCGAUAGGAUCUCAAGGCCGUUUUGCUAGUUCGCUGGCAAACUGAGCUUUCAUCAUGCUGGUUAAAGUUCAGUAUCAAGGUGUAAAGAAAUUUGUGAAAUAUCUCAGCGAUUCUACGUUCCAAGAUUUUCUCAAUGAAGUUAAGGGCAAAUCUGGCUUAGCCAGAACUGCAGCUCUUCAAGUCUUUGAUGACAC